rnacentral:tRNA from 1 species
GCGGGGAUAGUCAAGUGGUCAAAGACGCAAGAUUCAGGCUCUUGUCUCGUAGGAGUGCAGGGGUUCGACUCCCCUUCCCCGCACCA